rnacentral:lncRNA from 1 species
GCCACUCCUUGUCAGAUGCUCCCAUAGUGGCUCAGCUAUGUCUUUGAAGUUUAUAAAUUCUUAAGCAUCAUGGAUUGAUUGUCAGUCUACUGUCAUCUCUGGUUGUGAUAGAAUGUUUCUGGAAAGAUAUUCAGAGGCAAAAAUCUUACAGCCAUCAGAGGCUGCAAGGAUACGGGCACCUGGAGAUGCCAGCCCAGCCCAUUCUUCAGAGCCUCUGCUCCCGGUCCUGCACUCUGCUUGCCUGUUGCUCCGUGUAUCCUUGUACAGCUGAGUGCUGACUCAUGGGCAUGUUUCACUGAGGCCCAGGAAGAGGCCCUGGUUUGGGCCUCUUCCAGCUCACAGGCCUUGAACCAGAAGCAGCCACUCAGCCUCAUAAAGUGACAAAUUGCGGGCUGGGCAGGGAACUAAGAGCAGGGGGCAGCAGUGCAUACCUACCUGUCUACUAGUGAGGUUCCAGGAGCUGCAUUUCAGGGCCUCCUCAGAGCCAGCUAAGGAAAGCUUUGGGGGAGAUGGUGCCCUCUCUCCAUGACCAUUUCCACAUCUGCCCCUUGCUGUCUCAGGGCCCAGUCCCAGCAGGCCCACAAAUUUGGACUGUGCUUCCUGAAGCAACUGCUCUGCAAGGGCAUUUGUUGGAGGCCAGUGGGCACAGGCAGGUAGGCAAGUUCAGAGAACUAAGGGUGCUCUCUGACAAGAGCCUGAGAGUCAAGAGACCUCAGGACCUGAACUGUGAGCAUUGUCAAUGGCUAGAAGCUGGGCUCUUCUCUGUAUUGAAGCACUUUACUUCUUGGCACAAUGGUGAGCAAGUAACUGCAUUCGUCUGAAUUUGAUUCCUUGCAUGUGAAGUCAGGGCACAGUCAUGCAGCUCAGUUCAGUGAGUGUUGGGGAUCUGCCCCAAAGGCCUGGCACACAUGUGCCAGGCUCCCUCGUAGCUUUGUCACUGCAAAGGGCACUGUUCUAUUCCCAGCACCUCCAGCUUCUGCCUGGCAACUGUGUCUCCCCGUUCUAUAUAUAAUCCUACCAGCAGAGCUGGCAGGGCAGGGCCCAGCCCUCAAAGAGAUCUCCUUGUCUGACCCCUGGGCCUGGACACAGGCUUUGUGUGCCCACCUUGGCUGUGUGAGCCCGGCUGCUCUGCCAGUGCUGUGGCCGAGUCCCGUGGUUGAGUUGGUUGGGGCAGCACUGAGCCCCACACUGGGUGCUAUUCUCGGCUCUCUAGGCUGGUGCUCAUCCCAUCCCCAGUGACUUCUGCCCCCACCUGGCACACCAAAGCCCUUUGCGGGCUGUCACGUCCUCUGAGUUUGGACCCAGAUUGCCAGUGCCUGGUGUGAGGGUGGGACUAGGUUUGUCUGGGCUUCCCAGGUGGCACUUGUGUGUGUGUCACCAUCCAUCCAGACAGCCCUCUAGAAUUCUGUGGUGUUCCUACUCUGCCUUUCUGAGAAGAAAGAAACUAUGGAAGAGCCAAGAGAUGGGUUCUUCCCUUUUGCUCUUAGGAGCCCAGAAAGCCUUCUGAGAGCUCCAGGAGCCCCUUCUGAAAACCACCCAUCUAAGAGCCAUUUGAUAGUAUUGAAACUCAUAGGAGAAUGUCCUUCUUAGGAGACAAUGGCUGAAAUAUAUAGUUGAAUGAUUUCAAGAAAUGUAUAAUUAAUCCCAUAUGGUCUCCCCUCCCCCAAAAUAUACAAAGCAAAUAAGGCAAAAAUGUCCAUUGUUGAAUCUUCAACGACUGAUAUUUCAGUGAAUAGUGUAUUUGUUCUUUCAACUUUUCUGUAUGUUUGGGGUUUUCUUUAAUAAAAGAAAUUGUGGGGAAAUGGCUGUCUAUUGAGUUGCCAGUUAUUGGAGGGUGUGUGUAGGAGCCCUGCCCAGUGGAAUUCGACUUGGGAGGGUGAGGGAGGGGUGAGCAAUCUGUCUGGGGUGAGGGGGGUUCACUAGUGAUCUCUCCUUGGAGAGUACAAUGCUGAUGUUUGGGUUACUCCAUCCUGAAGUAGUUUGGAAGAAGGCCAAAGGAUCAUGAGACAGACAUUACCGAGAAGGGAUCUAAGACCUGAAGUUGCACUGAGAAAGUGGCACGGUGGGGGUGACAACCUGCUGCUUCCCCUGCCCUGCUUCCUUCAUUUUUUCCAACCCUAAGACCUAGGAGUAGAGAAGAUGGUACUACAGUUGACUGGGACCCACAAGGGGUAAAGUGUCUAGAGACCGGCCACCCUGAAGUGUCUGCUAUGUUUCUGGUGUUGCGCGCCCUCUCGUGGGCUUCUGGGGA